ACAUGCCUACAAUAUAGCAUAAUGCAGCGGAUCCCAUUAGAACUCGGUAGUUAAGUGUGCUCAGGAUAGAUUAGAAUUUGGAUGGGUGACCUCCUGGGAAGUCCUAGUGUUUUACAUGCC
rnacentral:rRNA from 1 species